UACUGCCCUGCGAAGAGUCGCCGAUUGUGGCGGCCUGUUCAAAAUGAACUAGCAGGGCAGUUUUCA
rnacentral:sRNA from 12 species